AUCUUUCAGCUGCACGUCGUGGAGAGGUUGAAGAAGAGUCCUAGGGCAAUUUCGUGCAAGGUUUUGGACGAUUUCAUGGUAAAACUGAAGCUGAAACAGAAGCUUCAUCUGCUGUCGCACAGCUCGAACCAGGUCUGGUGUUUGGUGAAUAUCGAGCUGAAGAGAUUGAAUUUUGGGCUGAAAUUUUAAGUAGCACGGAGAAAACUUGCAAUAUCUGACGAACCAAGACGAGUUAAGCCACGAAAGUUUGAGAAGUGAGAACAAACAAGAAAGGAGGAAACUUUGCUGUCGGAUGUCAUUUGGAAGCAGGUAACGCUGAGGAAUUGGCGUGAGUAACGACACUAGUCUCGUUGGUAGAGCAAAGAAGGUUUUUCUCUCACAAAUCUCGCUGGCUCUCGCUCGGUAGCAAGGACGUUCCCGGUGCUUAGCCUACUUCAGCUCACCCUGCCUAAGUCUCGAGUUCUCGAAAUUCAGUCACGUUUGAGAGUUGUACAUUGUAUAUAACCUUAUGUAGGUGGCAUGUAGAUCAAGUUGUGUAAAGAGUGGGGAUCGUAAUGUAGUUUUGUACAAAUGUAUGGUGGAUCUAUGGAAGUUUAAUUAUGUGGUAUGAUAAAAUGUACUUUGUACAGGAAGGACUAUGAUAUUAUGAUCAUGUGUAAUUGGGCUGAGUU
rnacentral:misc_RNA from 1 species